UGUGUCUUCACUCAUCUGAGGAUUAAUGUCCUGAUUGUUUCUACACAGGAAGUUUCCCAUUUGGUCUGGCUGAGAGGCAGCUCCAAAAUGAACCAUGCAGUGGCAGUCUUCCGGUCUCACCGAGCCUCCCUCCCCUGCUCCUAAAUCACCUCGCUCCCCAGUCGCUGCAAAUGCUUCUCACGUGCUGACAGUUCACACGGUUCAAGACAAGAGUCCGGGUUGGAGCCGGAACCAAGCAGUACAGGGGGGAGGCAAGUGAGAUGGUCGUUAAGUGACAGGGACAGGAGGUGCAACUGCCUGCUCUUCCCAGCCCUUUCUCAUCUGGUCCUGUUGAUGUGUCCCCUGCAGUGGUUUACCUCAGGCAAGUCAUGUGAACUCUGCAAACCUUAGUUUCUUUCUUUUUUCUUUCCUUCUAUAUUUUCCUCCCUUUUCUUCUCUCCCCCCUCUUUUUCUUCCUCCCUCCCUCCCUUCCUCCCUCUUUCCUUCCCUCCUUUCUUUCUUCCUUUCAUCUUAUUUAUUUUUAAUACCAGAGAUUAAACCCAGGGAGCUUUACCACUGCGCUACAUCCCCAGCACCCCUCUCCUUUUUUUUUACUUUAAGAAAAGAUCUUCGGCUGGAGCUGAGGCUCAGUGGUAGAGUGCUUGUCUUGUGUGUGUGUCUCUCUGGGUUUGAUCCUCAGCACCACAUAAAUAAAAUAAAAGUAUUACGUCCACCUACAACUAAAAAAUUUUUUUAAAAAAAGAAAGAAAGAAAAGGUCUCAUUAAGUUUUUGAGGCUGGCUUUGAACUUACAAUCCUCCUGUCUUAGCUUCCUGAUUUUCUGGGAUUACAGGCAUGAGCCAGCCAUAUAAAAAGCAGGCUUAGUACUGCCUACCUUAGAGAAGAUUAAUGAAUUAUUUAGAAAAAGCUCCUAAUAUAGUACCAAGCACACAAGAAAUGCUUUGAAUGAUAGUAAUAGCAAAUGCUUAUAUUGUACCUCCUGCUUGCCAUGAGUGAUUUUAAGCACUUAAUAUAUUUAAUCAAUUCAAUCCUCACAACCCUGUUAGGCAGCCUCCACUAUUAUCCCCAUUUUAUAGAAGAGGAAACUAAGGCACAGAAAGAUUCUGGAAAUUUUCAAACAUCACAGAGAGCUGGUACAGCUGGAAUUCAAACUAAGGCCCCAAGAUAUCUAGGAACAACAGUUAACCAUUAAAUGCUGCCACAUAGCAGCCUCACCUGUAGUAAGCUAGAGGUGGAGGAGGCUUCCCUUACUGAAAUGGGCUUCGUGCACCAUAAUUCGGAACUGAAAAGAGGUCACCUAACUGCUAAUUUUACAUUUGAAGAAAACAAGUGGAGGGACAUGACCGGGCCAGGGUCACACGGCUCCUGCUGGGUGCUUUGCCUUGCGCUGUUUCCACCACACCUCUCUUUGCCCCAGGAAGGCUGCCUCUGGAAGCCAGGGAGGAAUUAAGGACACAAAAGCACAUUUGAAGAAUCCACUGCCAUGCACAGCAAUUGCUUCAAAAUGAGAAGGUCUCACUUUGUCCAGAGGAAGAUCUAUUUAUGUGAGCCUCCACUCCCUCCUGAAUUCAGGCAGCCGCAAGUCCAGUGAAGAGGGAGCAAUUGUAUGAAUCGCACCCCACCCUGCACUCCCCAAACACACCUAGUACCUGCCACAUUCCCACCAAGGGAUAGUUGCUCAUGUUGUUCCUGAGCCUGAAUCUCCCAUCCCUGUCCCUACCUAAUGCCUAAAGAAGCUCUCCUUAGGUUUCAGGGGACAUCUGGAAAGCUGCUCUCUCGGUGAAGUUUCCAGAACCUUCCGGGCCAGAUGGAUUUUCUGAACUCCAGAGAUGGGAAGUUCCAGCCCUGUAUCAGCCAGGCCUAGGUUUGUGUUCUCCAUUCACACAGGUCUGGAUCUGUGACCUUUGGCCACUACCUACAUCAUCUCCCUGUCUCCAUUUCACUACUUCUCAAAGGAAAUAAUAAUAAUCCCUUUCUUAUGGGCUUAUAAAUAAAGAUUCACAUAUAUACAGAAAGAAUUUAGCACAGGGCCUAGAGCUCAAAAAAUGAGACACACAAUGGCUUCCAAAGGUGUCUUAUUGCCACAUGCUGUUUUGCUAGUUGCUUGGGUUUGCAUCUUAUCUCCCCCACUAAGAUAUCUCUCUUUGUCAAGUUCAUUUUUCCAUUCCUGUGGCACCUGAGCCCCUACAGUCUGUACUCUGUGAGGGUGCGCUAAAUCAAAGUGAACUAGAAACAAAAAAGAUGAGUUAAUUAUAGCAAAGAGCAAAAGGCUAUAGUUUUAUUGGAAGCCUAUGAUGAUUGUCUUUAUCCAUAGACUUCCCAGAUUCUGAGAGGCAAAGAAGAAUGGAAUAUCACUCUCCAUUCUCAUUACUAGUGUGAUUAGAGAUUAGGCUGAGAAAAAUCAAUAAUAAUAAUAAUAACCUCUACCUAUUGAGGACUUCAAAUAAUCCAUAUCAGUCUCGGGUACUCUUUACUUCAUUUAUUGCUUACUAAAAUCCUAUGAGGUAAACAUUCUUACCCCCAUGUAGGGAUCGGACAACUGAGGUUCAAGAUCAAGUCACCCAUCAGAGGUCAGAUGCCAAACAUGUGGCCAAGCUAGGAUUUAAGCCCAGGUCUGUCUGACUCCCAAGUCCACGCUGUGUGCUAGAGUCUAUAAACUACCUUCUGCAUGCUGACCUGGGCCUAAUUUUGUAUGUCCAUCAAACUAAGAUGGGGUUUAUAUUUUUAAUUGUUGAAAAAUGGUUAAUAUUUUACACCACUUGAAUAUUGUAUGAAAUGCAAAUUUUAGUGUCCAUAAAGUUUCAUCAGGACUCAGCUACAUCUGCUUCUUUCUACAACGUCUGGCUGUUUUUGUGCUUGAACAGACAAGACAGUGUGUUUGCAGGAGAGACUGCAUGUCCAUCAAUGCCUGAAAUAUGUACUUUCUAGUUUUUUACAGAAAAGUUUCCUGACCCCAGCUCCAUGUCAUGCUGUCUUACAGAUAAACUUACUGCCAAGAAAACGACCUUUUUCAUAAAAAGUCAUGCUUCAAAAAGGGCAUCCUUCCCUGCAGCAAUAAAAGUUGGGGUUUGGAUUCUGACUUGAUGCAUGCCUAGCCAGCCCUGAUUCUUGUUGUCACCCAGCUCCUGAUGGGAUUUGGAAGGCAGAGCCACUAGCCUCCAAGAGGCAGGGACGACAGGCCAGAGCAAGCCUGGAAGCAAAGGGUAAGGGAUUUAGACAGAGAAGCCAGCUUGGUUUCAUGAAUUCCUUUGCCCCCAGGAUUCAUGGUUUCCUGCCACAUCUUGUUCAGCUGUGGAUGUGUCCAGGCCCAGACAGGGCGGGCAGGCUGGAAACAAUGAAAGCAUGGAGGUGCCAGGCCCCAUGAUCCUGUAUUCAGCCUCCACCCUGACCAUGGGCAGAGGCCCAGCUCCGCAAAUCUGACCCCACACCUACCUGCCUGAGACCUCAGUCUUCUCGUACAUAAAAUGAGAGGUUGGCUGGGCUACUCUGGGCCAUCUGCCUCCUGCACCUGGCACCUGCCUUCUGCCUGGAGCAGGCUUUCUCUUUUUGCUUCAUAUACUCCCAGGCCAGUGUCUGCCUGUGGGGGAAUUCCAAAGGGCAGAUUUUGCUUUGUGGCAUUCCUUCAUCCAGGGAGUGCUUUUGAGCACCUGCUGUGUCCAGCUUUGUAAAGAUACUAAACAAGCAAAAGCAAUGGCACUUCCUAUUUGUUUCCAGGUCCAAGCUGUGCAGGUGAGGAGCUACAGAAGCAUCCCAGCUCUCAGAUUCCUUGAACAAACUCUGAGCACAGGUUACAGACUUGGCACGCUCCAGGUGCCUUCGUCUCCAUACUUUUGCUUUAGCUACAGACCAGGCCUGUGACCCAGACCCAUUUUUCAGAUGAGAAAAUUGACUCUGAGAAGUUGCCUACAGAUCAAAUGGCUAUUAAGGGUGGAGCUAGGCUUCAAUGCAGGUCUCACUUAUUCCAAAACCUGUGCAUCUUUGAAAAACUGGGAUGCCCCCUCCACCAGGGUGUCAUUGGGUACCUAUGUAGGUACAGGAUAGAGAUGUUAAAAUAAAUUUAUUGAGGGGGGGGGGAAAUUAUUUAAGCCUUUAACACAACAGAAAGAGCACAUAUCAGCAAUCAAACUUGUUCUAGAACAAACUAUUUUAAUCACUGCAUGAUUUUUUUCUUCCCUAGGUCUCAGUUUUUCCGUCCAUAAAACUGGAAUGAAGAAGCUGGAUAAAGCAAUCUCAAAGCAUCACCUACUUCCCUUGCUUCUCCCUGUACCUGCUGCACAGGUGCUAUGCUUGGUUACAGGAUUCAUAGUUCAGCUCUGGUUCUGAAUCAUAAAACUCAACCCAGUGGAUUCUAUCAGAAAAUUUAAGGAGGGUGGGGGGGCAGGCCCUAAUAAAACUCAAUGGUUAGGCUAUGUGGAUUCAAACAUCAAAACUGUUUCAGGAAAAGAUGAAGACAAAGAUGCUACGUAGAUGCUGUCUUUCCUAUUUUAUUCCAUCCUGCUUGAUGUUUAUGGAAUUCUCUUUCCAAAAGUAUCUUAGGUUUCUGUUGCAUUUGAGUUUUCAGAAUUUCCCCAGGCAGGGUCAUCGAAGAACCUGGGGAACAGGUGGCAGAAAGAAGAGAGAGGCCCUAAGGAUGGGAGGGAUUUAGGCAAAGUGUGAGCAAAGAUUUAAAUAAAAAAGUAAAAAAAAAAAAUUGGGGGAAACAGUGAGGUUAUCAGUUGUUUUUGAUGGAAAUUAUCAGGAAGUUAAGGAGAGAUUAGAAAUAUGGGUAUCCUGAGUGCUAUUAGCAAAUUAAAAAUGUGAUUUGACACCCCAAUAGCAACAAGUACACUGACCACUCAGAUCUUGGUUUCUAAUACCUUUGUCCUAUAAAAGAAGUAUAAUUCCCUGAAGAAAUGCCUGAUUGUAGUAAGACUGUGGCAAAUAUUCAAUAAUCCUGAAGCAUCUUGUAAUGCCAGAAAGUAAUGAAGUGCUCAAUAUAGAAUAAAUAAAUAAAACCUAGAAGCCAGGCACUGUGGCACAUACCUGUAAUCCCAACAGCUCAGGAGGCUGAGGCAGGAGGAUUGUGAGUUCAAAGCCAGCCUCAGCAAAAGCGAGGUGCUAAGCACCUCAGUGAGACCUUGUCUCUAAAUAAAAGAAAAAAACGGGGGGCUGGGGAUGUGGCUCAGUGGUCAAGUGCCUCUGAGUAAUUAAAUUAAAUUAAAUCUAUAAUGAUGGGAGAAUGUCAAAGGGAAAUAUGAACCAACUGAAAGAGACUCCAAUGGACAAAGCUGGAAAAUUUUGAUCAGUAAAAUAAAGUAGUACAUAUAAAACAAAUAUCCAAAAAUCCACACUGAUAUAAAUAUAUGAAAAAAUAAAUCUCUCAUUUAUCUCUUAUAGGAGAAUCCCAAGUAACUUAUAUGGAUACUCUGCCCCCAGAAGAGGGAGCAUAACUCCUUAAGGGUGGCCUGUGAAGAAUGACCUCCCUCCAAAGAAGAAAGCAUGGAAAGAGAGCAAAGGGGAUUGCAUGGUGAAGAAUCCUGACAAGCACUCUCUCAGCCAGGUGAUCAAGGUCAACAUCGAUAGCAAUUGCUCACUUGCUCUGAGGUUAUAAAAAUAGCACUUAAACUCUGUGGUCUUCCUGUCCUAGAACCCAGAACCCCAAUCUACUCAUGAAACUAAACAUCAGACAAAUUCCAAAAGUGGGAUCUUCUACAAAAUACCUGACCAGUGCUCCUUAGAACUGUCAAGGUCAUCAUGACCAUUAUGAUAUAUCUUUUGUUUUCUGUUUGUGGUUCUUGGCUCAUAACUCCCUCUUAAGGGCAGGCCACAGAAACUAAACUUCUCUUCCCCAAGGCAGGUUUCAAAAAUCCUAAUCUUCACCUGACCAUAAAGAAAUUCUCCAGCAGGGCACGGUAACACAUGCCUGUAAUCCCAGCGGCUCAGGAGGCUGAGACAGGAGGAUUGCAAGUUCAAAGCCAGCCUCAGCAACAUCGAGGUGCUAAGUAACUCAGUGAGACCCUGUCUCUAAAUAAAAUACAAAAUAGGGCUGGAGAUGUGGCUCAGUGGUCGAGUGCCCCUGAGUUCAAUCCCUGGCGUGGAAAAAAAAGAAAAAGAAAUUCUCUGACCUACCAUACCUGAUUAAGUAAGUCAUAAGACCCUCAUUUCAGAAAGGAUCCUGCCCCAUACCCCAGAGAAAGGGAUGCCGCACAGAGAAGCCAAGAAAAUCUGAAUCGGUGGGGUUUCUCCAGUCAGUCUAUUAGCAUUACAUUACACCCUUUGUGUCCAAUCACAUUUAUUUAUUUAUUUAUUUCUCUCUGUGUGUGCUUGUGGUACUGGGAAUUGAACCCAGGAUACUUUACCACUCACUAUAUCCGGGCCCUUUUCAUAUUUAUCUUAAGACAGGGUCUUACUAUGUUGCCUAGACAGGCCUCAAACUUGAGAUUCUCCUGCUUCAGCCUCCUGAAUAGCUAGGAUUAUAAACAAGGGCCACCAUGCCCAGUUCCAAUCACAUCUCUACAGGGUUGUCUGUGUUUUGAUCAUGGUUAUGCGAUGAAGACUACAUAAAACCCCCCAAAGAUAGGGUUCAGAUAAUUUCCAGAGAGCGGAAGGAUCCUGGAGGGUGGGUGUGCCCAGAGAGUAGAGAACCUCCACACCCCUUCCCCCAUUCCUUACCCUAUGCAUCUCUUCAUCUGUGUUCUUUGUAAUAAACUGGUAAAUGUGUUUCUCUAAGUUCUGUGAGCUACUCCACCAAACUUAAAAAUUCCGAGGAGGGGGUUGUGAGAACGCUAGUUUAUAGUUGAUUAGCCAGAAGAACAGGUCACAAGCUGAGGCUUGCAACUGGCACCUAAAGUAAGCGGGGCCAGUCUUUGAGACUGAGCCCUCAACCUGUGGGAUCUGAUGCUACUUCCAGGAAGAGUGUCAGAACAGAAGUGAAUUAGAGGACAGCAGCUGGUGUCUGCUGCAGACUCAGUGGCUUUCUUGCUGGCAGGGAGCAGUCUUCACACACCCGCAUCACAGAAGUGGCCUGUGUUGAGUAGAAGAAACUGAGCUAGUUCUUCCUCUGGGUCUCGAGAAUCAUCAAAACAAGGAAAGUCUAAGAAAGUGUCAUGGCUGAGAAAAGUCUGAGGAGUCAUGACACCUCAAUUUAAUGCAUCCUGGAUGCCACAGUCAUGCAAAAACCACAACAAAAAAACUGAUGCCAGAAAAAUAACCUGUAGUUCUUUGAUAGUUUGGAGAAACACGUUUAAAUAGCUUUUUUCCAGGGCAGAAAUCCAGUUAUUUGUACUUUGCUCAAUUGUAUAUAUGUAACAAUUACUAACAGCUGGGACCCAUGAAUAGAAAAAAGCCAUUAGGUAAAAACUAAGGAAAUCUGAAUAAACAAUGGGCUUUAUUACAUGGCCAUGUAUCAGUACUGGUUCAGUAAUUGUGAUAAAUACAGCAUGCUAAGUAAGAUGUUCGUAAUGGAACACCAUGUAUAUGCUCGCUUAAUACCAGAUAGUUUAAGUAUCCCUAAAUCCCAAACCCGUCAACAUCUGAAACUUGUUGAGUGCUGACAUGAUGCCACAAGGGGAAAAUUCCACACCUGACCUCAUGCGAUGGGUCACAGUCAAAGCACAGAUGCACUAAAAAUUUUGUGUAAAAUGACCUUUAGACUAUGUGUUUAAGGUGCAUAUUAAACAUAAAUUUCAUGCUUAGUCUUGGGCCCCAUCCCCAAGAAAACUUCCCCAUAUAUUAUGCACAAGUAUUAAAGAAAUAAAAUACAAAAGUCUGAAAUCAGAAACACUUCUGGUCCUGAGCAUUUAAAAUGAGGGACACUUAGCCACUCAGCCCUCAGCUACACAGUGGCAGCUCUCGCAUAUCUGGGACCAGAGUAAGAACGAUGAUGUCUGAUGCAUCAACAUGAAGCUUCAGUUUGGGCCUUUUUUUUUUUUUUUUUGGUACCAGAGAUUGAACUCAGGGGUACUCAACCACUGAGCCACAUCCCCAGCCCUAUUUUGUAUUUUAUUCAGAGACAGGGUCUCUGAGUUGCUCCGUUCAUCAAUUUUGUUGAGGCUAGCUUUGAACUCUAGAUCCUCCUGCCUCAGCCUCCCCAGGAGGUGGGAUUACCAGCUUGCACCACCACUCCUGGCAAGUUUGGGCCUAUUCUUUAACAUCCCUUCUAGCUUCCUCAUUCUGGUUGGGACUGUACUCAGGGGUAGAGAGCUUACCUAACAUGUUCAAUUCUCAGGUACCAUAAAAAGAAAAAAAUCACAGACUUCUUUACCUCUCCUUUUAACAGAUCUCAGCCUCAGACCAUUCUGUAGACAAUAGCAUCCAGGACAAAUAUAACAGUAUUUUUUGUUUUACUUUCUUUUAUUUUGUCAGUAACAUUUUAUUUAUGAAAAAUAUGCUAGGUUUCCAUUUAUAAUAACAAUAGAAUGUUUCCUUGGUAAAUAAAUUUGGUUAAGCUGGGCAUGGUAGAACAAACUUGUAAUCCCAGUGACUCAAGAGGAUGAGGCAAAAGAAUCGCAUGUUCAUAGCCAGCCUCAGCAACUUAGGUAGACCCUGUCUCAAGAUAAAAAAAAAUAAAAGGGGCUGGGGAUGUGACUCAGUCGUUAAGCACCCCUGGGUUCAAAUCCCAAUACCCCCACACCCCAAUUUUUAAAAAUUUGGUUAAUAAUAUUAAAUGAUCACUUUCACCCUGAUAUAGAAAAAAAAAGCCAUAAGUUUGCAUACAGUUUGAUGUUGCAUGAUGGUGAACACAUUGUUGCUGGUAGGAAUAAAAGUGGGUACCCUCUACCAAAUUUGUAAAUACAUAUACUCUUUUACUG
rnacentral:lncRNA from 1 species